CACGCAACCCCAGUCACGUGACUGUGCUUGGCCAAUUGCGCAGUAGAGCACGAGUUUAAACUAGGCUGCAGGGUCUUCCUCAUUCAGAGGUGUGGGGAAGCUGAUCGGCAGCUGUGGACAGGUUUUUGUUCAACAAACAAUUUACUCUUGUGCUUGAUUUAUUCUUUGAGAUUAAACAUAUCAUUGUAACUUUUAGAAUAAAGCCUAGUUUAUGCUUCUGCGUUUUCAGAGCGACGCAGACGCAAGCCCCCCUUGCGUGUCCCUUGCGUCGCUUUUCACACCUCCUUGUGUCCUUGCGUGUGUCGAGCCAUUUUUCUUGCGUCGCUUUCGACGCAAGCAACGCAAGCCUCCCGCAGCGCACCAGGCUGCGAUUGGUCCGCUAACUACAUCCUUUACGGAGUCUCAUUUCCGCUUUCAUAGCCCGAUACCGCCAUUAUUAAAACGAAGAAUGUUUACGAGAGAACGGAUCAGAUUUAAGAACUUUUGUCGGAUAAAAUGCGCAAAUAUGACCGCUUAUAUAAGCCGUCAUUGGCGGGUUGUAGAAGCGGGUUGGAUUCACGGAGGGAGAUUGCCGCAAAUGCCGGUUUGCCGGUCGAGAGGUGCGCAAAGUUGUGGAGGAAAAUACGGGACAAAUGUGUCCGCGAUGAAAAGCCGCAGUGGUGAUGCACGGGGCAAUAAAGUCUGAUGAAUAAAUAAACAAAAAAAUAAAUAGACGCGACUCUCUAGGUCGUCUUCAACAAAAACACGUUACUCCGCCUGUUGUUCUGGCGGUCAAUUGCUCUGCAACACAUGCAGAAUCAUGAAUUGAAACGAGUGCGUCGCCGCAACGACUCAGACGCAAACGCAGAAGCAUGCGCCAGCCUUAACUUAGUGGCUGCAGGGAAUCGUCACCGUCAUCAGGUUGCCAUAUGUCUAUAUAGAGGAACUGGCCAGGUUUUCCUCUCUGUUUGGAGACGAAUGAUGGCAAGCUGGAUUACCAUUGCUGGGAGCCUACCAUCUGUGUAGCAUCCACUGAAUAGCCACUUCCUACUGGUCUGGUAGGAAGGUUGUCCACAGCCUGCCCCUGCACACUCCUCCAUAGACUAGUGCUUCAAUCCCACGUACACAUCCUUUCACUUGAUGAACAAUAACCUACGGACUACUCAAUACAAACAUUCCAUAAAAUCCUUGUGGGUUGUCUCGCUGGUCUUGUAUACCAUCCAUUGCAGGGGCGGUUCUUUUUCUCUUUUUGUUUUUGUGUGGUAUUUGCUGUAAUUUAAAUUAGUAUAGCAUACUUGAACAACCACUACAAAGUGUGCUUAAAUAUAACCGGUUCAACUGCAGUCUGUAAAUAUUUUGGGAUUCUUUUAUUUUUCUUCUUUCAUUAUUUCUUGUUUUAAAUAUUUUGUUUAAUUAUUUUGCAAUACAUGGUACCUGCACCAAAUUUAAACUUAUGUUUCUGUGUUGUUACUGACCACCAGCUCCUGUAGCAGAAUUUGGACUUCUGUGAUUUAUACUAGCCUAUACUGGUAUUUCUAUAGCCUUCUAUUAAACGUAUUAUAGCUAAUAUUAAGGACAUAUUAAUAUCAGUUAACCAUCUCGAAGACCCGUUACACGACAUCCUGAAAAAUUCCUGAAACCCUGACAUUGUCACAGAAAAAGCUCCCCAAAAAAUGAAAAAACUCUUCCAUGGGGAGAAAAAAGGAAAAAGAAGAAACCUUAGGAACAACGGCAGAGGAGGGAUCAUGAGGGAUGUCACGGUUUGACUUUAUUUCCUGUUUUAGCUUCACUUCGAGCUUUGUCAUACCCUGUGAUUGUCUGCCUUGUCCCUGAUUGUUUCCACCUGUGUCCAAUCACCUGCACCUUCCCAAUGUAUUUAAGCAAUGUGUGUCUCUUGUCGCGUCAUUGAAUGUCGUUAGUGAAUGUUCUACCCUGAAUAUUGUUCCCGUGUUUUGUAAGUUCCUGGUCCCCUUCCUCUCUGCGUCUUGCCCCCAGGCAUUUGGAUUUUGAUAUUUUGAUUAAUAAAGUUGUUUUCGUUGCACUUGAGCCCUGCUUCUGGCAACCCCACCCCACUUUGUGACGGCAUUGUGACAGGAUCGUGACAGGAUCCCUCUUUCGGGAUGGACAACCCGCAAUGGAUGUCAUGUGUACACAAUGAAGACGUAAAAGGUGUACAGUACGUUCAAUCCAUACAACAAAAAUCCUUUACAAAUUGAGAGUAGUAAGUGAGUAAGACUGGACCACUGCAGGAACAACCACCAUCAGAUAUAACCACCAGCAACAGAAACCUGCUA
ensembl:lncRNA